AGUGGGCGUGCAGGAGAAGCUGUAGGUCAGGAGGUAGAGUUGGCAGUGGGCGUGCAGGAGAAGCUGUAGGUCGGAGAGGUAGAGGUGGCAGUGGGCGUGCAGGAGAAGCUGUAGGUCAGGGGGUAGAGGUGGCAGUGGGCGUGCAGGAGAAGCUGUAGGUCAGAGUGGAUAGGUGGCAGUGGGCGUGCAGGAGAAGCUGUAGGUCAGGAGGUAGAGGUGGCAGUGGGCGUGCAGGAGAAGCUGUAGGUCAGGAGGUAGAGGUGGCAGUGGGCGUGCAGGAGAAGCUGUAGGUCAGGAGGUAGAGUUGGCAGUGGGCGUGCAGGAGAAGCUGUAGGUCGGAGAGGUAGAGGUGGCAGUGGGCGUGCAGGAGAAGCUGUAGGUCGGGAGGUAGAGGUGGCAGUGGGCGUGCAGGAGAAGCUGUAGGUCAGAGUGGAGAGGUGGCAGUGGGCGUGCAGGAGAAGCUGUAGGUCGG
rnacentral:lncRNA from 1 species